AGCAUGCUCCUUAGAUCCACCUGAUGGGACCUAGUCCACCAACUUUAUUGGUUGGUUAUCGUCGGUGUAUGAGUCAUUGGCAUGCAAGACUAUUAUACCUCCUUCUGCCAGUUAGCCUCACCAUCCACACCUAGCCGCCCUGUCCUGGCUAGGAUAGAGAGAGAUUGCCUUGUCUGCAGUUGCUCUUGUUGUGACUUAUGCUGGUGUAAAGGCUGGUGUUGGGGACAAA